rnacentral:lncRNA from 1 species
AGGAGGGUUAAAGUUUAAUUAGAUUAAUAAUUUUAUACAGAACAGACAUGUUCAAGAUGGAGUCCAUCAGUAGUUUGUUGUUGUAUUUAUGCAGCUGAGAUCAAAUCAUCACAAAAUGUUACCUUUUAUUAUUUCAGUGUUUCUCGGUGGUCAGAUCUUUCUAAAGGAAUCAGGUUCUUUGUGAAUCUGUUCUGUGCAGCAGCAGAGAGAGAACAGCAGACAGGAGAGAAGACACUGGAGCUGUUAUCAUCAGUGUGCAGAGAUCAAACAUUCCCUUUAAAAGACAUGUAUGAUGAUGAAUAUCAGAGCGAUUUCCUGCUGGAUCUGUACUCCCACCUGAAGGACUGUGAGACUAAAACAGGUCUGAGUCUCCUUCCAUCAUUACAGUCAGUUUUCCAGUCAGCUCCUGCAGUCUGGAUCAUAAACCUCUCAGAGAGAAAGAGCUCCAUCCUCCUGGAAGUGCUGAAACUCCAAUCAGAGAAGAAACAAGUGGAGCUGACAGGCUGCUCAGAUGAAGAGAGUGAAGUGAGGAGUUUCCUACAGUGUCUGCCUUAUAUCUCACAGCUCAGUGUUCCUCGGUGGUCAGAUCUUUCUAAAGGAAUCAGGAUCUUUGUGAAUCUGUUCUGUGCAGCAGCAGAGAGAGAACAGCAGACAGGAGAGAAGACACUGGAGCUGUUAUCAUCAGUGUGCAGAUACAAAACAUUCCCUUUAAAAGACAUGUAUGAUGAUGAAUAUCGGAGUAAUUUCCUGCUGGAUCUGUACUCCCACCUGAAGGACUAUGAGACUAAAACAGGUCUGAGUCUCCUUCCAUCAUUACAGUCAGUUUUCCAGUCAGCUGCUGCAGUCUGGAUCAUAAACCUCUCAGAGAGAAAGAGCUCCAUCCUCCUGGAAGUGCUGAAACUCCAAUCAGAGAAGAAACAAGUGGAGCUGACAGGCUGCUCAGAUGAAGAGAGUGAAGUGAGGAGUUUCCUACAGUGUCUGCCUUAUAUCUCACAGCUCGGUGUUUCUCGGUGGUCAGAUCUUUCUAAAGGAAUCAGGUUCUUUGUGAAUCUGUUCUGUGCAGCAGCAGAGAGAGAACAGCAGACAGGAGAGAAGACACUGGAGCUGUUAUCAUCAGUGUGCAGAUACAAAACAUUCCCUUUAAAAUAUGAUAAUGAUGGAUAUCAGAGUUAUUUCCUGCUGGAUCUGUACUCCCACCUGAAGGACUGUGAGACUAAAACAGGUCUGAGUCUCCUUCCAUCAUCACAGUCAGUUUUCCAGUCAGCUCCUGCAGUCUGGAUCAUAAACCUCUCAGAGAGAAAGAGCUCCAUCCUCCUGGAAGUGCUGAAACUCCAAUCAGAGAAGAAACAAGUGGAGCUGAGAGGCUGCUCAGAUGAAGAGAGUGAAGUGAGGAGUUUCCUACAGUGUCUGCCUUAUAUCUCACAGCUCAGUGUUUCUCAGCGGUCAGAUCUUUCUAAAGGAAUCAGGAUCUUUGUGAAUCUGUUCUGUGCAGCAGCAGAGAGAGAACAGCAGACAGGAGAGAAGACACUGGAGCUGUUAUCAUCAGUGUGCAGAUAUGAAACAUUCCCUUUUAAAGAUGAUGAUGAAUAUCAGAGCGAUUUCCUGCUGGAUCUGUACUCCCACCUGAAGGACUAUGAGACUAAAACAGGUCUGAGUCUCCUUCCAUCAUUACAGUCAGUUUUCCAGUCAGCUCCUGCAGUCUGGAUCAUAAACCUCUCAGAGAGAAAGAGCUCCAUCCUCCUGGAAGUGCUGAAACUCCAAUCAGAGAAGAAACAAGUGGAGCUGACAGGCUGCUCAG